UGAUCCCGUGACGCCGCCCGCUCCGCCGCCGCCCAAUCCCCGCCGCGCGCCCCGCGCCCCGCGUGCCGAUGAUGUCAGAGUCGCCCAAUCGGAGCCCGGCAGGCAUCGCGGCUCCUCCUGGCGUGACCGAGCCCGGCCGUGACGGCUCCCGCCAUUGGCCCGAUUCGAAAUUCGCCCCCUCCUGAUUGGAGGGCUGGGCGGCAGGCUAUUUUUAGCAGGAUGUGCAUAAACAGUUGUUGAGAAAAAACCGGUCUGUGAUCCCCAUCAGCACCCAGAAACAGUAUUAGAACAAAAGAUACCAACAGAUGAUCCUUCUUCAUGCACGUGUACCACAGAAUGUCCUUCUUGAGUCUGCAUACCUUCACCUUGAAGACGGGUACACUUUCUGCUCCUGUAGCAGACACUGGAAAGCACGUACAGCGUGAAAGAAAUAGAGUGAAAGGUCCUGGCAAGAUGCCCAUCCUACUUCUCGGAUAAAGGGUAUGGGGGACCUACUACAUAUCAUGUUGGGACAGCAGUUACACCAGACCCUGAGCAUAUGAAAUGGAGGCCAUCUGGACAUCUGGAUAAUGUUUCAUUGUGCAGCUGAAAAUUUGCAUUCAUCAUUUAAGGACUGUGAACAUCUCAGAGAGUUUGUUUGGCUGAAGUCAAUCAAUUCCUUAGAAAGAAGAAAUAUCCAAGUCUCCUGGAGUAAGUAUGGCAUAAACUGAGGCCAAAUUUGACUAUGUGAAUUCAAAGCAGCCAUUCUUGUUUUAUCAAGAAAAUUAUCCACUUUCCCAAUCUCUAUAAGCAUACUGAUUUUCUGAGUUAUCUUGCAUGUCUGUAAGUGCAUUUUAAAGUAUUUUAAAAUAUCAUUAAAUAACAUUAUGUAUUUCAACAGAGAGCUAUGGUCAGAUCAGUUGUUUUUUCUUAUGAGUCCAUAAUGUACAACCUACCAGCUUGGGGCUUUGAUUACUAUGUAGUCUUUGUCUUACUUAUGGAA
rnacentral:lncRNA from 1 species